CUCAUGGAGACUGUGAUUUGGCCAUCAGAUGACACGAACUCGGAGAGAGUUGGGUGAAAGAAACUCAUUGCGCGUUGUUGAUUUCACUCACUUUUCUCUUUCAGAUUCUAUUAGCUUCUCACAAAAUUUGCAGCAAAUUAGUGGAUGUUGUAUUCUUCCCAGAUCAUCGGGGUUCUUGAACUUGCGCUGUAUAUAAAAGGGAUUUUGUAUUUCAUAUUCAGUGUAUCAAGAAGGGGAGCCUUGGCGUUGCCAUGUAACCAGUAAGUUACGGGUUCAAGCCGCGGGAAACAGCCUCUUGCAGAAAUGCAGGGUAAGGCUGCGUUUUGUAGACCAUUGUGGUCCGGUGCUUCCCCGGACCCCUUAGUGCAUCAGGCCGCCCUUUUUUAUUUUUUAUAUUCAGUAUAUCUUUCAAGAUUAGUUGACUUCUUAUGGAAAUGAUAGAUCAGCCUGGAGUCUUAGCAAUUAAAUUUUCUUGUUGCGCUGCAAUUCCCUACUUCUAUUCCGUGGUCUUUCCUCUGGAAGAUGUGUAAAAAUAGAUUUCUGAAAAUUUUCUCUCUUCCUGACUUCUUUGCAAAUUUGAGUUUCUUCUAUUGUGAUAACUGAAAUUACAAUCAUGACAAACUUGCACUGAUAUGGUUUUCGGUUUUCUUGAGAUUAUCA
rnacentral:lncRNA from 1 species